rnacentral:rRNA from 1 species
UACGUAGGGGGCAAGCGUUGUCCGGAUUUAUUGGGCGUAAAGAGCGUGUAGGCGGCCAGGUAGGUCCGUUGUGAAAACUCGAGGCUCAACCUCGAGACGCCGAUGGAAACCAUCUGGCUAGAGUCCGGAAGAGGAGAGUGGAAUUCCCGGUGUAGCGGUGAAAUGCGCAGAUAUCGGGAGGAACACCGGUGGCGAAGGCGGUUCUCUGGGCCUUACCUGACGCUGAGGAGCGAAAGCGUGGGGAGCAAACAGG